rnacentral:rRNA from 1 species
GCGGCGAACGGGUGAGUAACACGUGGGUGAUCUGCCCUGCACUCUGGGAUAAGCUUGGGAAACUGGGUCUAAUACCGGAUAUGACCGCAUGCCGCAUGGUGUGUGGUGGAAAGAUUUAUCGGUGCAGGAUGGGCCCGCGGCCUAUCAGCUUGUUGGUGGGGUAAUGGCCUACCAAGGCGACGACGGGUAGCCGACCUGAGAGGGUGACCGGCCACACUGGGACUGAGACACGGCCCAGACUCCUACGGGAGGCAGCAGUGGGGAAUAUUGCACAAUGGGCGGAAGCCUGAUGCAGCGACGCCGCGUGAGGGAUGAAGGCCUUCGGGUUGUAAACCUCUUUCAGCAGGGACGAAGCGUGAGUGACGGUACCUGCAGAAGAAGCACCGGCUAACUACGUGCCAGCAGCCGCGGUAAUACGUAGGGUGCGAGCGUUGUCCGGAAUUACUGGGCGUAAAGAGUUCGUAGGCGGUUUGUCGCGUCGUUUGUGAAAACCCGGGGCUCAACUUCGGGCUUGCAGGCGAUACGGGCAGACUUGAGUGUUUCAGGGGAGACUGGAAUUCCUGGUGUAGCGGUGAAAUGCGCAGAUAUCAGGAGGAACACCGGUGGCGAAGGCGGGUCUCUGGGAAACAACUGACGCUGAGGAACGAAAGCGUGGGUAGCAAACAGGAUUAGAUACCCUGGUAGUCCACGCCGUAAACGGUGGGCGCUAGGUGUGGGUUCCUUCCACGGGAUCUGUGCCGUAGCUAACGCAUUAAGCGCCCCGCCUGGGGAGUACGGCCGCAAGGCUAAAACUCAAAG